UACAGACUUUGGGUACUGAGAGCAAGAAUGAGAAAGCAGGAAAAUGAGUAAGCAUGAAAUGGAAAAGAGAUGAAAAAAAGAAGACAGGAACAAAACAGGAGAUUGAGAGUCUCUGAGAACUACUGUAAGAGAAACUGAGUCAGGAAGCUUUUGAAAGUGGGAACUGGCUGAGGGAAGAUUCCAAGGAUGGAUGAACACAGAGCUACAGGGACUGAAGAGGUUCCGCGGGAAGGUAGGACUCACCAAAAUGGAGGACUAUUGUUGCCCCGCCAGCUGCAGAAGCGGAUUUGUUUUCUGAAAUACCCAAUACAAUGGCUGCAUCUAACAGCGUAUGUGUCUAACAUCCUGCCCUCUUGUAUCCUGUCUCUCUGCC